rnacentral:misc_RNA from 1 species
AAUGUCACAGAGUGACUGUCAAAACAGACAGCUGAUAGAGUGAUAAUACAAUACUGUGUUUUGUGCUCUAAUUUAAUCAUUUUAUUCAGUUUAAGUACGUUAAAAUGAGUGAAGCACCCAGACUUUUAGUUCUAUACGGCAGCCAAACCUACACGGCUCAGGAGAGGGCUGAAAGAAUAUGGCGAACAACGAAAGUCUUAGGUUUUCGAGGACCUGUUCAGGCCAUGGACGAAUAUCCAAUAUCUCGCCUUAUUAAAGAAGAAUUUGUGAUUUUCGUGUGUGCUACGGCUGGGCAAGGAGAUGAGCCAGAUAAUAUGAAGAAGUUCUGGAAGUUCCUACUGCGAAAAAACCUUCCUGCCAACUCUUUAGUGAGGUUAAAAUUCGGAGUGCUAGGUCUUGGUGACUCGUCCUAUUUGAAAUUUAAUUUCGCGGGGAAGAAACUUCAUAAGCGAUUAAUCCAGUUGGGGGCUACACCGCUGCUUGAUAUAGGACUCUGUGACUACCAACAUGAUUUAGGCCAUGAUGCAGUUAUGGGUCCCUGGCUCAAAGACUACCUAACAAUACUCAAAAACCAAUACUUCCCUAGCUUAGACAUAGACAACAUCAAAAACACGUUCACACCUCGUUGGAAAGUUACCGUAGACAAGAGUGAGGGAAAUGAGUUCAAACCUCAUUCUAAUGGUUUGAAUGAAGAUAUUUAUUUUGCUAAAGGAGCAAAAGAUACAUUUGUAGAUGCUACAUUGUUAGAAAUAACUAAAAAUGUUAGAACUACCCAUGAAUCACAUUAUCAGGAUGUAAGAUUAAUAACAUUACAAACUGCAGAUGAUAGUAAAUUAAAUUAUAAACCUGGAGAUGUAUUUAAUAUAAGACCUCGCAACUGUAAGGCAGAGGUAGAUGAUUUGUUUAAUCUUUUUGAAGAACACAAUAUUGAUAUAAAACCUCAUUACAAGUUGAUAGUGGAAGAGUAUCAUGAAGACAUGCCUGUACCAGCCUUCCUAAAACAACCACACACACUUUACGAAAUAGCCGAACAAUACUGGGACCUACACUGCUACCCCACACAAUAUGUCUUCUCUCUUCUCGCACAAGUGUCUGAGGAUACGUUAGAAAGAGAGAAGUGUAUACAACUCAGCUCCCCCGAAGGACAGGAGGAUUGGCUUAAUUAUUGUAGGAGGCCUAAGAGGAGUGUGCUUGAGGUCCUACACGACUUCCACAAAUCGGCUUCAAAACUGACCCUCGAAGUGGUUUUUGAGCUCUUCUCCACGAUCAAACCGCGUUCCUUCUCCAUAGCGAGCAGUUCUCUACCCUCUGAAGGUCGAACCAUAGACCUGUUGGUAGCUGUGGUGAACUAUAAGACUACUAUGAAGAAACCCAGGCUUGGGUUAGCUUCGAACUGGUUAAAGAGUCUGAAUGUUGGUGAUAAGGUCUUUGGGUGGAUCAAAGUGGGGUCUAUGAUAUUUCCGGAUGACGCUACGACGCCUCACAUCCUAAUCGGUCCAGGCACCGGUCUAGCGCCCUUCCGCAGCCUCCUACAAGAACGCGACAUACUCCGCACGGCACACAAGGAUGUUCUCCACCUCAUCUUCGGCUGCAGAUACAAGGAAAAGGACUUUCAUUGCCGCGAGGAGUUGGAGAAGAUGGUUGAGGAGGAGAAGUUGAGCUUGUAUUGUGCUUUUUCGAGGGAUCAGGAGAAGAAAGUUUACGUCGGCAACAAAAUAGCAGAAAACAAGGAAUUGAUCUGGCAGCUACUGAGCCAAGACGCUCGUAUCUACAUCUCAGGCACGGCCAAGAAUAUGCCUGACAAUGUUCGCGAUGCAUUCAUAGACGCUGUGUUUGGGAAGUGCGGCGGACAUAGUGUGGAUGAAGCUAAGAAACUGUUGAAAGAUAUGGAAAAUAAUGGCAGGUUUCAAGUGGAAGCUUGGUAAAAGUUUUGAGUAAAAAUUGUGAACUAAGGCCAGGCCUAUACUCUGUUUAAAAGGUAAACAGUCUUGAUAUGACUUUUUAUUUAAAAACACCUUAAAAAUAAAAUGCGACUAAAAUUCAAUGUUUAUACAAUAGUGAUUGUCAACAGUAACUAAUCUAUUGAAUUCUUUUUUUAAGCAGUAGUUAAUUUUUAAAAUAUGCAUUUGUGUAAAAAGUCAUAUCAAGAUUUUUUACCUUUUUUUAACUACCUAAACCAAUGGAGUAGGUAUAUAUAGUGUUGAUUGAGUUUAGAACACAUCUCUAGUUAAGAACAUGCCUGACAAUGUUCGCGACGCGUUCAUAGACGCUGUGUUUGGUAAGUGCGGCGGACAUAGUGUGGAUGAAGCCAAGAAACUGUUGAAGGAUAUGGAAAAUAAUGGCAGAUUUCAAGUGGAGGCUUGGUAAAAGUUUUGAGAAAAAAUUGUGAACUAAGGCCAGGCCUAUACUCCGUUUAAAAGGUAAACAGUCUUGAUAUGACUUUUUGUAUGAACCUCACUUUAAAAAUAAAAUGCGACUAAAAUUCAAUGUUUAUACAAUAGUGAUUGCCACUUAAUCAAUUGAAUCCUUGUUUUAUGUAGUAGUUUAUUUUUUAAAUAUGUAUUUGUUUAAAAAGUCCUGUCAAGGUACCAAUGGAGUACCUAUAGUGUUGUUUGAGUUUAGAACACAUCUCUAGUUAAGAAUAUGCCCGACAAUGUUCGCGACGCAUUCAUAGACGCUGUGUUUGGGAAGUGCGGCGGACAUAGCGUGGAUGAAGCCAAGAAACUGUUGAAGGAUAUGGAAAAUAAUGGCAGGUUUCAAGUUGAGGCUUGGUAAUAGUGUUAGGAGAAAACCUAUGCCUUAUAAAACGUGGAUAAGUACCAGGUUUAGUACUAGGCUUACCGUCAGUUGCACAAAGCCCCAUUAAAGUUAAAGAUUCUUUAAUAUCUAUUGUUGACUCUUUCUUUGACAACAAGACAAAAAGUUCCAGCAAUAGAUUUAAUAAUGCUUUGAGCAAUUGACGGUUAGAGAAUUAACUUUGUUCGAGACGUUAGUUUAUACCUAGUACUAAAGCUGUCACUUUUUAGGACCACAUUUUAUAAUAAGGUGACUUACUUUUGACAUUGCCACAUGUUGAAUUUUGGAAAUUGUACCUUAUUUUGUCUUGUUUCAAGAAGCUACAUAUUUAAUAGAAAAACUGUUACCACCUUAUUUUAAAAGUGGUUUUAAAAAGUACCUGGUUCAGUAAUGGAACAUUAACUCUGUUACAGACGAUGGCUUAAAGCCGGGACUUUCUUAGGUCCACGUUUUAUAAUAAAGUGGUUUAAGUUUAUGUAUCUGUAAAUUUUGCAUCAGAAACCUUAUGCCUGUGACAAUAAGGUUCAA